rnacentral:lncRNA from 1 species
GCCAACAUGGAAGGCCCGAUCGUUUUGGUGUUCAUUUGCUGUGUAUUUUUCUUGAAGUUCUUGAAUGGAAGUAUUAUUCCACGCAUCAUAAAUGGCAGCAAUGCCACCGCUAUGCAGUUGCCCCAUCAAGUGUUUUAUGAUACUUUUUACCUAGGAGACUAUAGUUGGACCAGUUUCUGGAGACCCCAGUGUGGAGGCACCAUAAUAUCCAGUAAAAUUAUACUCACAGCAGCUCACUGUUUCGAGGAUGAUCCCUACAUGUAAGAUCAUAAUUAGAUAACCUCUAAAUGCAUUUAAUUUUUGAUUUGAUUUCAAAAGAAUUGCCUUGAGAAUUUACUUUGGAGCUGUGAACAAAUCAAAUGCCACCGAAGAGGGUCAACAGCGUUUAAUUGUGGAUCGAAAGAGUGUGGUGAUCCAUCAGCAAUUCAAUUAUCAAAAACCUUUUUACAAUGAUAUUGCAAUCAUUAAACUACCCAUUAAUGUGCCUUUUAAUGAAUAUAUUCGACCCGCAAAGCUGCCACAACCCACCAAUAAUUAUGUGCAUGCAAAAGCCAUUGUUUCGGGAUGGGGUGCAUCUAAAGGUACAUUAAAUUCUUCGAUUUUUCCAGCAGAUAAAUAUGACUUAUCUCUGAGUUCGUUAUAGUUUCAGGAAAUUCGAAAAUCUUGCCGCAUAAUUUAAAAUAUUUUGAAAUCAACAUCAUAUCGAAUGAGGAAUGCUACGAACAGUGGUUAAAACGGGAAUACAUGUUCCCAGUGUCCUUCAUGUGCAUUGCUCCCAGCGUAAAUGUACCUUGCAUAGGAGAUUCUGGAGGACCUUUGGCUCUCAAGGAAGGAAAGGAUUUUAUUCUUUUGGGAAUUACCUCCCAUAGUGUCAUUGAGCCUUGCCGAAUCAAUCAACCCACGGUUUAUGUCAGAGUUUCUUCGUAUUUGGAUUGGAUACGGAAAAAUUCUGGUGGUAAAAUUUAGAUUUAUGUGAGAUCUACGUUAAAAAUAAAUUUCGAUCGAUUUCGGCAUCUAUU